GAUGAACGCUGGCGGCGUGCCUAAUACAUGCAAGUCGAGCGAACAGACGAGGAGCUUGCUCCUCUGACGUUAGCGGCGGACGGGUGAGUAACACGUGGAUAACCUACCUCUAAGACUGGGAUAACUUCGGGAAACCGGAGCUAAUACCGGAUAAUAUAUUGAACCGCAUGGUUCAAUAGUGAAAGACGGUUUUGCUGUCACUUAUAGAUGGAUCCGCGCCGCAUUAGCUAGUUGGUAAGGUAACGGCUUACCAAGGCGACGAUGCGUAGCCGACCUGAGAGGGUGAUCGGCCACACUGGAACUGAGACACGGUCCAGACUCCUACGGGAGGCAGCAGUAGGGAAUCUUCCGCAAUGGGCGAAAGCCUGACGGAGCAACGCCGCGUGAGUGAUGAAGGUCUUCGGAUCGUAAAACUCUGUUAUUAGGGAAGAACAAAUGUGUAAGUAACUAUGCACGUCUUGACGGUACCUAAUCAGAAAGCCACGGCUAACUACGUG
rnacentral:rRNA from 1 species